GACGAACGCUGGCGGCGUGCUUAACACAUGCAAGUCGAACGGAAAGGCCUCUUUCGGGGGGUACUCGAGUGGCGAACGGGUGAGUAACGCGUGAGUAACCUGCCCUUGACUUUGGGAUAACUUCAGGAAACUGGGGCUAAUACCGGAUAGGAGCUCCUGCUGCAUGGUGGGGGUUGGAAAGUUUCGGCGGUUGGGGAUGGACUCGCGGCUUAUCAGCUUGUUGGUGGGGUAGUGGCUUACCAAGGCUUUGACGGGUAGCCGGCCUGAGAGGGUGACCGGCCACAUUGGGACUGAGAUACGGCCCAGACUCCUACGGGAGGCAGCAGUGGGGAAGAUUGCACAAUGGGUGGAAGCCUGAUGCAGCAACGCCGUGUGCGGGAUGACGGCCUUCGGGUUGUAAACCGCUUUCGCUCAUGACGAAGCUUUGUGUGACGGUAGUGGGUAAAGAAGCACCGGCUAACUACGUG
rnacentral:rRNA from 1 species